CGACGUUAGCGGCGGACGGGUGAGUAACACGUGGGUAACCUACCUAUAAGACUGGAAUAACUCCGGGAAACCGGGGCUAAUGCCGGAUAACAUGUUGGACCGCAUGGUCCUACAGUGAAAGACGGUCUUGCUGUCACUUAUAGAUGGACCCGCGCCGUAUUAGCUAGUUGGUAAGGUAACGGCUUACCAAGGCAACGAUACGUAGCCGACCUGAGAGGGUGAUCGGCCACACUGGAACUGAGACACGGUCCAGACUCCUACGGGAGGCAGCAGUAGGGAAUCUUCCGCAAUGGGCGAAAGCCUGACGGAGCAACGCCGCGUGAGUGAUGAAGGCCUUCGGGUCGUAAAACUCUGUUAUUAGGGAAGAACAAAUGUGUAAAUAACUAUGCACGUCUUGACGGUACCUAAUCAGAAAGCCACGGCUAACUACGUGCCAGCAGCCGCGGUAAUACGUAAGUGGCAAGCGUUAUCCGGAAUUAUUGGGCGUAAAGCGCGCGUAAGCGGUUUCUUAAGUCUGAUGUGAAAGCCCACGGCUCAACCGUGGAGGGUCAUUGGAAACUGGGAAACUUGAGUGCAGGAGAGGAAAGUGGAAUUCCAUGUGUAGCGGUGAAAUGCGCAGAGAUAUGGAGGAACACCAGUGGCGAANGCGACUUUCUGGUCUGCAACUGACGCUGAUGUGCGAAAGCGUGGGGAUCAAACAGGAUUAGAUACCCUGGUAGUCCACGCCGUAAACGAUGAGUGCUAAGUGUUAGGGGGUUUCCGCCCCUUAGUGCUGCAGCUAACGCAUUAAGCACUCCGCCUGGG
rnacentral:rRNA from 1 species